GGAGUAGUAACUUAAUGGUUAAGGUGUUGGACUACUGCUCAGAAGGUCAUGAGUUCAAACCCCAGCCCUGCCA